AAGUGAAAUGAUGGCAAAUCAUCUUUCGGGACUGACCUGAAAUGAAGAGAAUACUCUGGCUGAUCACUU
ensembl:snoRNA